AUGCCAGCAACUUUGGAAAACUCAGCAGUGGCCAUAGGACUGGAAUCGGUCAGUUUUCUUCCAAUCCCAAAGAAAGGCAAUGCCAAAGAAUGCUCAAACUACCACACAAUUGCAGUCAUUUCACACACUAGUAAAGUAAUGCUCAAAAUUCUCCAAACCAGGCUUCAGCAGUACGUUAACCGUGAACUUCCAGAUGUUCAACCUGGCUUUAGAAAAGGCAAAGGAACCAGAGAUCAAAUUGCCAACAUCCUCUGGAUCAUCGAAAAAGUAAGAGAGUUCCAGAGAAACAUCUAUUUCUGCUUGAUUGACUAUGCUAAAGCCUUUGACUGUGUGGAUCACAAUAAACGGUGGAAAAUUCUGAAAGAGAUGGGAAUACCAGACCACCUGACAUGCCUCUUGAGAAAUCUGUAUACAGGUCAGGAAGCAACAGUUAGAACUGGACAUGGAACAACAGACUGGUUCCAAAUAGGAAAAGGAGUACGUCAAGGCUGUAUAUUGUCACCCUGCUUAUUUAACUUCUAUGCAGAGUACAUCAUGAGAAAUGCUGGGCUGGAAGAAGCACAAGCUGGAAUCAAGAUUGCCGGGAGAAAUAUCAAUAACCUCAGAUAUGCAGAUGACACCACCCUUAUGGCAGAAAGUGAAGAAGAACUGAAAAGCCUCUUGAUGAAAAUGAAAGUGGAGAGUGAAAAAGUUGGCUUAAAUUUCAACAUUCAGAAAAUGAAGAUCAUGGCAUCUGGUCCCAUCACUUCAUGGGAAAUAGAUGGGGAAACAGGGGAAACAGUGUCAGAUUUUAUUUUUAUUUGGGGGGCCUCCAAAAUCACUGCAGAUGGUGAUUGCAGCCAUGAAAUUAAAAGACGCUUACUCCUUGGAAGUAAAGUUAUGACCAACCUAGAUAGCAUAUUAGAAAGCAGAGACAUUACUUUGCCAACAAAGGUCCAUUUAGUCAAGGCUAUGGUUUUUCCAGUGGUCAUGUAUGGAUGUGAGAGUUGGACUGUGACGAAAGCUGAGUGCCGAAGUUUUGAUGCUUUUGAACUGUGGUGUUGGAGAAGACUCUUGAGAGUCCCUUGGACUACAAAGAGAUCCAACCAGUCCAUUCUAGAGGAGAUCAGCCCUGGGAUUUCUUUGGAAGGAAUGAUGCUAAAGCUGAAACUCCAGUACUUUGGCCACCUCAUGUGA
rnacentral:lncRNA from 1 species